rnacentral:sRNA from 1 species
UCGAAGUAGCGAUUGCAGCGGAAAACCUUUCCAUUUCUGUAAGUAUUUUGAUCUAAGUAUCAAUUGGAAAGAUUGGAGCGGAAAGCGCGGUCGUUC